rnacentral:rRNA from 1 species
AUUGAACGCUGGCGGCAGGCCUAACACAUGCAAGUCGAACGAGUGGCGGACGGGUGAGUAAUGUCUGGGAAACUGCCCGAUGGAGGGGGAUAACUACUGGACACGGUAGCUAAUACCGCAUACCAUCGGAUGUGCCCAGAUGGGAUGAGCUAGUAGGUGGGGUAAUGGCUCACCUAGGCGACGACCCCUAGCUGGUCUGAGAGGAUGACCAGCCACACGGGAACGGAGACACGGGCCAGACUCCGACGGGAGGCAGCAGUGGGGAAUAUUGCACAAUGGGCGCAAGCCUGAUGCAGCCAUGCCGCGUGUAUGAAGAAGGCCUUAGGGUUGUAAAGUACUGUCAGCGAGGAGGCGUUACUCGCAGAAGAAGCACCGGCUAACUCCGUGCCAGCCGCCGCGGUAAUUC